CCCUAUGGGGCGCAGCAGUUACAUGGGCAGCAUCCGGGGAUGAUUCAGGAGUUCAUGUCCAGAAGACUUCUGUCCCUGACGCUGUAGGCACCCCUUGGUUCUAUAUUGGUAGGAAGUACGAUUCCAUACUAACAAUAACGAAUCCGUUCGUGCGAGACUCUAAGGGUAUACCUAAGACUGCCUCAAGGACAUCCUUGAAAUACAUGCAGUUCAAUCUUGCAGACACAGGGUUUCUUAAAGCGGUGGUUACAAAGAACAACGCUCCUACGUACACAACCAGCUUUGAUUCAAAGGUUAUUGGGAGUGCCUUGUACAAUCUUAACUCAGCAGCACCUUUACAGGAUGGGUACUUCAAAGUACCGAUCAGGGCGGAUUCAGAUAGGUGUAGUGUUACAUUAUCAUCUGAUUCACACUUACCGUUCUAUGUAUUGGAUGUAGAAUUGGCGGGGGGGC
rnacentral:rRNA from 1 species